GGGGCUGUCGGCUAGCCAGGUCUAGAGGACAAUAUCCUCGAGGCGUCCGGACAGGCCGCGUGGCUUGGGAGCGUAUCGUCGCGCCAGGAGCCCACGAAAUCGCAGGUUCAAAUCCUGCCAGCCCCACCA
rnacentral:tRNA from 1 species